rfam:Methylocaldum sp. 175 genome assembly, contig: JC06DRAFT_unitig_0_quiver.5
AGUGUUGACGGGCGGUGCGUGGGCACGCUUCGGCGUGGCCGGGAACCUAUGCCCCGGUUUUCCACCCCAUGCACCGUCCGUCGCCCAU